GAAAGGUAUAGCAUUAUCAUAUUUUUUUGAAAGCGCCUUUUUCUUAGAAUUUAUGAUUAAAAACAAAAUCGCAACUUGUUGAUUUAGUUAUAUAGCGUAUAACUUUAAUAAAAGAAAAUGUCACUCUUUACGUAUUGUAAUAAAUUUAAACAAAAUCAUACGUUAUUAAAAAGAAGAACAACGCAAGACGGAGAACAUUUGAAUAUUGCAAAGCAUAAGGAGUAUUUGAAUACUUUGAAAUUACAUAAGGAGUUGGUUGAAUGCGUUAAGGAAGAAAUGCGUAUCAAGUUUUUGCUUACAGAAGAAUUGUAUGCACCAAACAAUCGUUCACUAAACGCUCAAGAAAGCACGGUUGAGUCACAAGUCCUUACAUCAGAUGCUAGUAAAACAAAAUUAGAAAAUAACUCUCAUUUGCCUCAAUCUUUAUAAAAUCAUAAUUUUUUUAAAGCGUGCAAUGAAAUUCUGACAAAAUCGAACUUGAUAAUUUUUAAUUAUGACUGCUUCAUGUAUAGGGAAUAACAUAGCAGAAGGCUCUUUAGAAUUUUCAAUAAACGAAAUGAAACUUUUUGUUAAGUGAAUUUUUGCCAAACAAAAAUGAUGUCGUGUUUGAUUGCGCCCUGAUCGAAAACGCAUUAUCUAGCAACGUUUCUUUUUGUUAACGGAAUCAAAUGGAUUUUUUAAUUUAAAACAACGUGCAAGUAUUAAAGUAACAUUUUUUGACAUAGUUAAUGUGUUAACUUGAAGAAAAAAUAUAUACUCAAAGACUCUUGUUUUUUUUGUAAAGAAAUCCAGAAUUUUAAUAUACAAAAAUAUAAACACGAAUGAUUUAUAUGCCGGUUUAUCAAUUUUCUUUCGACAAGCAAUGGGAUGCAGUGAAAGUUAUCAAUAUACUUUCGUUGACGAAAAUGGGAGAUAUGUGAAACAAUAACCAUAAUGGACUACUAUGCUUAUUGUUGUUGUUGCUUUUUUAGAUUGAAAAAUUUAUUAGCCGGUUUGGUUUGUUGUUCCAGAUAAAUAGAGAAAAAAAUAAACUGGCUUAAAAAAUUAAGAAGUUGUAUGCCAUUCCGAUGUAAUAUAAAUAACAAAAAAACUGUCAACAACAAUUUGAAUACGAAGUGUAAUUUAAUAU